GCGAUUACAGAGAAAAACUAGUAGCGGAAUGCAAAAUCGAAACUAAACAAAUGGAUAAACAAUGAGAUGCAACCAAGGAAGAUCGGCCAUCCUAUUUACUAGCUAAACAACGAGACGAGCUAAGACCAAACAAGGUCGGAAGGCCGAAGAUAAAGUAGCCGGUUACCGCGAGCUACCGAGAGAUAGGCGCUCUCAAACCUAGAAGCUACGGUUCCUACAGCUUCCAACAACCCAUCCCAACACAAACCGACUUGGAGAAUCAAAGCACGAGCGUACUACCAAACCAGAUAGACGCACCACCGACGGCACGAGAGAGAACCUCCACGCGACGAUGCCGUCGUUCAAAAAGCAGACCUGAAGAUUGCCGUCUUCGAACCUGACCUUCCGUGACUGUAUACACCCCUUGAACCGAGAACUCAUAUAGAGAAAGCGGACCGCGAAGAAGCCAACCCUCCGGAAAUGAACUUACAAGAGAAGCAACAAACCCGAGUGCCCUACUGCCGCACAGAUACUAGUACUAGCCAAAACGACCAAAGGAAACAAGACAAUGGCAUCACUUAUUUGGGAAGAACGAGCGAGACGAAUGGCCUCACCGCCGAGAGCUCCAAGGUAGAGGCGUGGAAACCAUCGAAUACACCGGAAACCGCUUACAAACGGAGCAAAUGAAGCACUAUCCGACAGCAUGCGCCACCACUGUCGGUCCAUCACGCGCCGCCGCUAAACCUGCGCGCUGCCACUAGAGAACACCGGUAGAUCGAGAUAGAUCUGACCUCCGACGAACCCCACACGCCUCCACUACAGACCAUCAGUGGAGCAAACAGAGACAGACCCUAGACUCGCGAAAUCUUGGAUCUGAACCAAACACCGAAGCUGAGAGCAACUCCACCGCACUUUCACGCCGGAAGAGAAACAAAAGCUCCAGGAAAGCCUCAUCAACGCAACACCCACCAUCGCUCGCACAGAAACCGGAUCCAAAGCGAGGGAAAAUCGCCGGUCAGAAAACCCUAGAGCUAACCUUCGCCAGACACAGGAAGGAGCAGCCGUCGUCCUCAAGCGGCGCCACCUCCUACCAUCUGACUAGAUAAGCUCCAGAACCACCGGAUCUGAACCUGAUCUAAGCCAAGAUCGAGUUAUUCCCGCCGCAGAGAGGAGAACACAGAGGGAGACGACAGAGAAAGGAGAGAACACGAGGUCCGGCGGUCACGCUAAGAACGCGGCAAACGACCGCCGGAGAGGAGGAGCUCCAGUGACUUUCGAGAGUAGGGAAANNNNNNNNNNNNNNNNNNNNNNNNNNNNNNUAGGGAAAGGGAGAGAGCAGUCGUGAGGAGAGAGAGAGUCUUUCGUAGAUUGCUUUUUUCUUUAGUGUUUCGGCUUUCUAUCCCGUUAGUUUCAUUCUUAUUUUGGGAUUCCUUGUCACAUACAUGUUACAUUCCCUGUCAAAGUCUUCAUGCUUUACACUGAUUAAGGUUUAAGCCGGAAUUUACAAAUAAGUAUUAACUCAAAAGCUUACUCCAACAUUGGAUUGCUUAUGAUCAUAUGGAUCAUGAAGAAGAGCUGUAUCACAUAAAAUAAAGAAAGAGUGAAAUUCUGUAAAGCGGAUAUGAUUACCCUACUUUACAUCAUUGAAUCUCCGUGUCCGAACCACU
rnacentral:lncRNA from 1 species